AGCUCUCUUCGCCAGUGAUGCAGAGUUGGUGGUCCAGGAGAGGUCUUCUCUUGGUAUGCCAGACUUCACUGACGCAUAAAGCUUCAAACCUGAUAAUUUCCCAAAAGGCACUGACCUUUGCAAGUACAAGGUCUGGAGGAGAAUGGAGAAAACCCAGGUCUGGAGGAGAAUGGAGAAAACCCAGGUCUCUAUGAGCUGGAGAAGAACUGACUGAGGACAACAGAAUAUGCAUCCCAUAAUGCUACAAGACACAGCCAUCACCACCUUGCAAGAUUGCUCAGGAUCUCCGGACUGAUAACUUGUAUAAGGAUAUGUGGCUGUCACAU